GUGAAUCAUAAUAACUUAACGAAUCGCAUGGCCUUGCGCCGGCGAUGGUUCAUUCAAAUUUCUGCCCUAUCAACUUUCGAUGGUAGGAUAGUGGCCUACCAUGGUGGCAACGGGUAACGGGGAAUUAGGGUUCGAUUCCGGAGAGGGAGCCUGAGAAACGGCUACCACAUCCAAGGAAGGCAGCAGGCGCGCAAAUUACCCAAUCCCGACACGGGGAGGUAGUGACAAUAAAUACUGAUACGGGGCUCUUUUGGGUCUCGUAAUUGGAAUGAGUACAAUCUAAAUCCCUUAACGAGGAACAAUUGGAGGGCAAGUCUGGUGCCAGCAGCCGCGGUAAUUCCAGCUCCAAUAGCGUAUAUUAAAGUUGUUGCAGUUAAAAAGCUCGUAGUUGAACCUUGGGUCUGGCUGGCCGGUCCGCCUCACCGCGAGUACUGGUCCGGCUGGACCUUUCCUUCUGGGGAACCUCAUGGCCUUCACUGGCUGUGGGGGGAACCAGGACUUUUACUGUGAAAAAAUUAGAGUGUUCAAAGCAGGCCUUUGCUCGAAUACAUUAGCAUGGAAUAAUAGAAUAGGACGUGCGGUUCUAUUUUGUUGGUUUCUAGGACCGCCGUAAUGAUUAAUAGGGAUAGUC
rnacentral:rRNA from 1 species